rnacentral:snRNA from 1 species
GUACCUGCUUUGGCAACAAAAAAUUGGAAAUUACAGACAGGACUAGCAUGGGCCCUGAACCUGAAUGACAUGCAAAUUCCUGAAGCAUUCUCUAUUUUU